rnacentral:ncRNA from 1 species
AUGUAGGCGUUGAUUGGGACAGUAGUGAUCAAUAAACUUUUUGAGCGAGCGAGGGAGGGUGUGAGCCUCGUAAAGAGUUGAUUCACGAAGAUCACCCAGGAGCUACCGAACAGAAAGCGUUCGAAUAGGACGUGAGUAGAGUUUGGCGUGACUAAAGCGAUAAUUAGACUGAGUGGCUUAUGAGCUAUCAGGGUGGUACCGCGGGUAAACCUCGUCCCUAUG